UCGUCAGUAGUGUAACGGAUGGAGCGCGCGCUUCCGGAAAGAGUGAGGUGCGGGUUCUAAUCCCGCCUGGCGCU